GUAUUUUUCUUUCAACACUAUUAGUUUCAGGAUUGGUGUUAACCUUAAGUAAACCUUUUUCCUUCUAAUGCUUCUGUUUAAACAUAGAUGUUGCAUCCUAUAUGAACAUCAGAGACACAUAGAUAUCAAAUUGACAUGGAGUAGUUCCUCUUAUAAACUUAAAUCUUAGGACAUGUAAUUCUUCUAUAGCACCAGGUAGAUUCACACUUGGUUGUUGAUUUAUAAAAUGGAAGAGUGUCUUUAGAAGGUAAUUGCAUAAUGUGUAAUUAUUAUUUUAACCAUGGACCUCUUUUAGUAAGCACCUCAUAAAAUUUACGAGUAUAAAGCCACUCAGUGGAUAUUUAUUUAAUGCACAUUGUUAAAAAAGUAAUACUCAUCUUUGUAGGGUAUAAUACCUAGUUAUUGUUGGUUUCUGUAUGACCAAAAAAAUGGUAAGAUGUCAUUAAUGUGGAUAAUUUCUUGGGUUCAUUUAUUUAUUUUAUUUAUUGGUAAGUUACACAUACACGGGUAUGGUUUAAACCUAUGACCCUACCCUCGAUCUUGUUCUUACAAGGGAAGUUGGUGCCAUUUGAGUUAGUUCUCAUUGGCAUAAUUUCUCAGGUUUAUAUACUGAAAUCUCAUAAGGAAGCCUGUCCUUAAACCACAAUUGGAACUUCUUUUUUGAGAUAAUGAGAGACCUAUCUUUGCCUAGGUCUUUAAUGAGGUACAGAAGUUGCAUGCAGAAGUUUCUUUUUUAUUUUUACCCUCUUGAACGUUGAUGAUAGUCAUCUUCAUCUUUUCCAAAUUUAUAUUGAUCAUCUUUUGAUACCUUAGUUUGGUCCCCCCACUCAAUGAAAAAGCUAAAGCCCACACCAAAGGCCCAAAAGUAGACCUUGGCAAUCUCACAUAGAAUCUAUGUGUGGAUACUGAAAGGAUCAAGGUGGUGUUCAGGGUUAAGUUUUUGAGUGUUAGAGAAAUAGGGUUGAUGACGAAACUAGCCUAGGGUUGGGAAUGGAUGAGUGUGCCAAGUAUUUCUGUGGGAUGUCUUAGAGAAUGGGAUUAGGAUAUGAGAGUGUUGAAAAAUUGUGUGUGUGUUAGAGAGAGAGAGAGAGUUUAAGAGAGAAAUGAAGAAAAUACCUUUGUGAUUGGACAGGGAGCUCAAAUUUCAUGUUUUAUGUACCAUGUCAUGUGUGACUGGAUGGCUGCCUUAAGUAGCCAUUCAUUUUCAUUGAUUUUUUUAUUUCCCCUUAGUACAUGUGUGUGUGCGUGUUUGUGUGUGUGUGUGUGUGUGUGUGUGUGUGAGAGAGAGAGAGAGAGAGAGGCAGAGGGAGUUUAAGAGAAAAAUGAAGAAAAUACCUUCAUGAUUGGACGGGGAGCUUAAAUUUCAUGUUUUACGCACCAUGUGUGAUUGGAUGGCUGCCUUAAGUGUCCAUUCAUUUUCAUUGAUUUUUUAUUUCCCCUUAGUACACUUGAUGUGGGAGACGCAAAAAGAUUAUUAUUUAGUAUUAUUUAUGUUUGCAAGUCAAUUGUAUUUUUAUGUUUUAGGUCCUAGUAGUUUAUUAGGCUAUUAGUAUUUUAAUUUGGAAGCAAGGUUAUUUUUGUAAUAAGGCAUUAGAACUAGGAUUUAGCAAUCCUUUAUAAGCAACCUAUUGUACUUCUUGAGGAGAUAGUUGAUAUUUUGAUGAAUAAAAAAAAAUGGGAUUUUAGAUCUUUUGGAAGAUAGUGAAUCAUUUGCUAUUCCAUUGUGAAAAA